CCUACGGGGGGCUGCAGUGAGGAAUAUUGGUCAAUGGGCGCGAGCCUGAACCAGCCAAGUCGCGUGAGGGAAGACGGCCCUACGGGUUGUAAACCUCUUUUGCCGGGGAGCAACGGGCGCAACGUGUGGCGCCACUGAGAGUACCCGGAGAAAAAGCAUCGGCUAACUCCGUGCCAGCAGCCGCGGUAAUACGGAGGAUGCGAGCGUUAUCCGGAUUUAUUGUGUUAAAAGGGUGCGUAGGCGGAGCGUUAAGUCAGUGGUCAAAUUUGGGGGCUCAACCCCUCCCCGCCAUUGAAACUGGCGCUCUUGAGUGGAAGAGAAGUAUGCGGAAUGCGUGGUGUAGCGGUGAAAUGCAUAGAUAUCACGCAGAACCCCGAUUGCGAAGGCAGCAUGCCGGCUUCCUACUGACGCUGAAGCACGAAAGCGUGGGGAUCGAACAGGAUUAGAUACCCUUGUAGUC
rnacentral:rRNA from 1 species